rnacentral:rRNA from 1 species
GAGUUUGAUUCUGGCUCAGGAUGAACGCUAGCGGCAGGCCUAACACAUGCAAGUCGNUGGGGUAGAGUGCUUCGGCACUUGAGACCGGCGUACGGGUGCGUAACGCGUGUACAAUCUACCUUUUGCUAAGGGAUAGCCCGAAGAAAUUUGGAUUAAUACCUUAUAGUAUUAUUUGGUGGCAUCAUUGAAUAAUUAAAGCUACGGUGGCAAAAGAUGAGUACGCGUCCCAUUAGCUAGUUGGAGUGGUAACGGCACACCAAGGCUAUGAUGGGUAGGGGUUCUGAGAGGGAUGUCCCCCACACUGGUACUGAGACACGGACCAGACUCCUACGGGAGGCAGCAGUGAGGAAUAUUGGACAAUGGUCGGAAGACUGAUCCAGCCAUGCCGCGUGCAGGAUGACGGCCUUAUGGGUUGUAAACUGCUUUUGUAUGGGAAGAAUAAGGUCUACGUGUAGAUUGAUGACGGUACCAUAC